AAGAGAAAGAUGUUUCCUAAGGAAGCUGCUAACUAUCCUUAUUAAUGGUUAAAUUCCAUUAUUCUCUUA
rnacentral:tRNA from 1 species